UACGGGGGAGCAAGCGUGUUCGGAUUACUGGGCGUAAAGGGCGCGUAGGCGGUCAGCACAAGUCAGUUGUGAAAUCUCCGGGCUCAACCUGGGAACUGCAUUCAAAACUGACAAGCUAGAGUAUGGUAGAGGGUGGUGGAAUUUCCUGCGUAGCGGUGAAAUGCGUAGAUAUAGGAAGGAACACCAGUGGCGAAGGCGACCACCUGGACUGAUACUGACACUGAGGUGCGAAAGCGUGGGGAGCAACAGG
rnacentral:rRNA from 1 species